rnacentral:rRNA from 1 species
UACAGAGGGGGCAAGCGUUAUUCGGAAUUAUUGGGCGUAAAGGGCGCGUAGGCGGCCUUGCAAGUGACGGGUGAAAUCCCUCGGCUUAACCGAGGAACUGCCUGUCAAACUGCGAGGCUUGAGACCGGGAGAGGUGAGUGGAAUUCCCAGUGUAGCGGUGAAAUGCGUAGAUAUUGGGAAGAACACCGAUGGCGAAGGCAGCCAUCUGGACCGACACUGACGCUGAGGCGCGAAAGCGUGGGGAGCAAACAGG